rnacentral:rRNA from 4 species
UGGCGGCUGUAGCGCGGUGGUCCCACCUGACCCCAUGCCGAACUCAGAAGUGAAACGCCGUAGCGCCGAUGGUAGUGUGGGGUCUCCCCAUGCGAGAGUAGGGAACUGCCAGGC